rnacentral:misc_RNA from 1 species
GCUCCGUUGGUGAACCAGCGGAGGGAUCAUUACUGGAAUCGCAAGAUCCCACAACCCUGUGAACCUACCGAAACGUUGCCUCGGCGGGUGCCCGGCCUCCGCGCCGGGCGCUGCGCCCGCCGGCGGCCCCCUACUCUGUCUCUGCAGCGUGGCAUCUCAGAGUCCCAGAAAACAAGUCAAAACUUUCAACAACGGAUCUCUUGGCUCUA